rnacentral:lncRNA from 1 species
CAAGAGGAUUGAAUCACCCAGGAUCAGCAGGAGAUCAGGUACCUGACAAUUCUGUAAUCCUAGCUACUCUGGAUGCUGAGAUAGGAAGAUCACUUGAGCUCAAGAAUUUGUAGCCAGCUAGGGCACACAGCAAGACCCUGUGCUCUGAGGAGGAAAGAGUCUCUAGAGUUCAGGGAUCUAGGAAUGUCCCCUGAGGAGAGACUAGAAAUAGAACUGGGCUGGGAGAAAACCCGAGGACUGGGGUGACUGUGGUAGUAGAGGGUUAUGUGUCAAAAUUUAAUGCUACAAAAUCAAUUCUGGGCAAAAAAAAAUAUCCCAGGUAGGGAGUUGGGCUCAUUUCUGGAAAAAGAAAAACAUCUUGAAGGACAGACAUGUAGCAUAUCUACCCUCCAAACACUUAAAAACUUAUCCAAGAUCAUAUACUUUGCUCCCAGAUCCUUGAGGAAGUACUGCUGGUAUCUGUGUUCCACUUGGUCCCUUAUACAAAAGAGCCUUUCCCUUCCUAUGGCUAGUCAAGCUUAGAUUCUUCAAGCCAGAACAAGAAUAUGUUUAAUUUCCCCAUUUCCCUCCCAAAUUCAUGCCCACAUUAACUUCUAGUAUCCCAGCUGAACUUUAAAUGGAGACUGAGAGUCGAGAGCCAGAGACUUCAUUUCCCAGUGUCAAUCACCUGAGUUUAGUGCACAGGAGCUUGGAUGUUUAAUGAAAGAAGAGUCCGUAGGCCUCAAGUUCUUUGUUUUAAUUUAGGAUCUUUAAGAUGGAGAGCACUACUUCAGUGAUUAGGAGAGACACAAGAUGGAAAGAAAGAUUUUACUACUGAUGGGCCCUGGGUGGUACACAAGACAUCUGAAAGCCACACUCAUGGAGGUCAAGGUCAAGGAGUGCAGACAGAGUGUGUGUGCAUGGCAGGGAGAGACUAUGGGACAAUGUCAACAUUGGGAUCCAGGGAGUUAUCCACACAGGUUUUCUGAGAAGAGUUUUAAUUGGUAGGUUUAAAGCAAAAAAAUGUAAGUGUCAAGAGGCUAUGACCAAGAUGUGAUACCGCAACAUAUCUGCACAGUCCAUAUGGGGUAUGAGGGUCAGCAGAGCCAGUCAUAUGUUGUACAUAGCUGUCUAAUAGGGAAGAGGUCACAAGGCCUUGUAUAACACAGAUAUCCGGACUAACUACAUUGAGGAACUGCAGAAGAGGUAAGUGUAAAACUAAAACUGAGUUAAGGAUAAGUGAACCAUGCUCCUGGUAUGACAAAAUUAAACUUAUAUUCCAAAUGGUGGGGUGGGGAGAUGAGGCAUGGGGAAGAGAAGCUUGAAAUUCAUGCUUAUCAGUUCUCAAAAAGCCAGCUGUAUCCCCAUCAGAAUCAACUAGGGAACUCAUGUAAAAAUAUGGAAUAUACAAUUUUGAGACUGGGGUCCAGAAAUCUCUAUUGCUAAUAAGUGUCCCAGAGAAGUUCUUAGGCAAUUUAAUUUCCAGAAGCUCUGUGACUAGGAAGGAGGGGCUGCGUAAUUAUUUUAAGGUAUGUCAAAGCAAAGUAUUUUUCUCAUUAAUGAUGUUUCUUCUACUCAUAAUUCACUCCAAAUCCUCCUCCAGAAGGAAUUUCGGAGGAAUUUAAGGAGGAUACCUAGGGUCCUGAAAUUCCUUAAAGAAGAUAGGUAAGCUUUUAUAACUUUGCCUUAAGAUCAAAAAAGUGAUGGAAAUAUAAUGUAGAAAAUUAAAUAAUUAACUCCACAUAGAGAGAUGUUGGAUAAAUGUUAGUAUUUAUUAUUUUAAUGCUAUACAAUUUAAAAAUCCUGAUUCAACUAACAAUGCUAGAAAAGCAAAAUCAAAGUAUAAGAAAAGGUGAUGAAACAAUUAAAUUGUUAUUAGGGAAUAUGUGCAGAUAAUAUCAAUUUACAUUGGAUUUGUGUGUGUGUGUGUGUGUGAGAGAGAGAGAGAGAGAGAGAGAGAGAGAGAGAGAGAAAUACGGGGAUUGAACCCAAGGGCACUACCACUAAGAUAAAUCCCAGUUAUAUUUAGGUGGUUUUUGUUUUAAUUAAUUAAUUUAUUUAUUUAUGACAGGGUUUUGCUAAGUUGCCCAAGUGGGCACUUGUGAUCCUCCUGCCUCAGUCUCUCAAGUAGCUGGGAUUACAGAUGUGCCCCACAGCACCUGGAUAGUAUUUAAAUAUUUAAAGGAAGGUUUUUUUCAUAGAUUCAUAAUAUUCAGACAUAAAAAACAAGUGUUUUUUGUUGUUUGUUUGUUUAUUUGGUGCUAAGGAUUAAACUCAGAGCUUUAUACAUGCUAAACACACACUCUACCACUGAGCUACACUCCCAGUUUUUAAAAUUAUAAUACAUUUCAAUUUGUAAUAGAUUACAAUUGAACAUCCAUGUGUGUUAAUCAGUUUUCCAUUGCUGUGACAAAAUACCUGAGAAAAUCUAUUUAAAGGGAGGGAAGUUUUAUUUGGGCUCAUAGUUUCAUCCCAUAAUCAGCCAGCUGGCUCUAUUGCUUCUGGCCUGUGGCGAGGCAGAACAGUAUAGUGGGGAGCACAUGUAGAAUAAAGCUGUUCACCUCAUGGCAGCCAGGAAGCAAAAACAGAGGAGAAGAAACCAAAGUUCCAAUAUCCAUCAAGGGCAUAGCCUCAGUGACCUUGCUUCCUUCCACUAGGGCCCAACUCUUAAAGGUUCCACCAGCUCCAGAUAAUGCCAUCCACUGAGGACCAAGCCCUUAAUUAACCCUUGAGACUUUGGUGAAUGAUUAAGAUCCAAAUCACAGCACCAUGUAUAUAUGGCUUUUGCAUAAUUCUUUAACUGCAUAAUACUAGUGAAGAAAUCUAAAUUGUCACAUAAAAUCAAAAUAUGUUAAGCUCAAAUUUUAUAUUCUAUAAAAAUGUACUUAUCACCACAGAGACAAAUAUAAAAUUACUUCUUUUAUAAUUAAGGGGAAAUGCUAACUUUCUAGUUCCAAUCUCAUUUUAGUUCUUUUUUUUUUGUUUUGGUUUAACAGCAUUUAAUACAAAAAUUUCCAUGUUAAAAAUAUAAUUUUUAGAAGAAUAACACCCAUAAAAUAUGCUAAUUAUUUAAUCAAAGAAAACAGUGUGGUUUGUUCAAAUUUGACUCCCAUAAUUUUGAUUGCUCCAGAACUGGGGCUUACUCUAUGACAAGAUUAAAUUUGGCAAAAAAAAAAAAGUAUUUGUUCUGAGCAUACCAUUCUUAGUAGAUCAUUCAGGAUAUGCUAAGAUUCUGGUACACUAUUUUAAUUCAUCACAAUAUGUUCCUGUCAGUUACAGCUCCCCAAUUGCUUUUGGGGGGAUUCUGUAAAAUAAAGACUGCCUCAAAUAUUAAAAGAAUUUUUAGAAUUAGUCAUAAACUUCAGUAUUCUUUGUCAUCUCUGAAUUUCUACAGUGGAAGAAAUUGGAAAGGUGCCAUUACUCAAAUGUUUUUCUCUCAUAAACAAAGUAAACAUUGGUCUUAUUAGUAUAUAAUUCUUUUCUACGAAAUAUUUGUUCUAAAUAUUUGUUCAUUCCAUCCUGAUAUCAUGUUGAAGGAAGUUUUUCAGUAUCCAUGAGGGUAGUUAUUGUAUGCAAACAAAGGUGACCCUGAGGUCAACUCUUACUUUAAGUAGUUGGUUAUAGUUAGUUUAUGCUAAUUGUUAAUUCUAUUUUUUUUUUAAAUCCAGAAUGAAUACAGGGUGGGACAGUCUCCAUUGGGUUACUGGAAGUCUGUUAUUUCAAGGGUGUUUCCUAAAGGCUCAGGGAAUUGGGAACCAUGGUAAGGAAGAAGAGCCAGGAACCACAGCAAAGGGUGUUACCAAGAGCAGCUAACCAUGUUUUAUAGCCCCUCACUGCCAUUCUUUUUUAAAAAUAUUUUUUAAAGUUGUAGAUGGACGCAAUACCUUUAUUUAUUUAUUUAUUUUUAUGUGAUGCUAAAUAUUGAACCCAGAGCCUUAUGCAUGCUAGGCAAGCGCUCUACCCUUGAGCAACAACUCCAGCCCCUCUCACUCUCAUUCUUGAGGUCUAGAUAGAGCAUUGUCUAAUGUCAAGACCAGCCAAAAUUCCUUGGAAAUUAACACAAUGGGCUUAGAGUGUGUAAUGCCAGACUCUCGUGGGACGCCAAUAAACCUCCAAGAGCCGAAUUCGAUGCAAUCACACAAGAGUCUUUAUUGCAAGCUGGAGGCUGGACUCACAACCGUUUCCAGGGAGUGAGUCCUGGUUCUUUGCUCAGUGAGAUUUUAUAGGUUUUGGGGGGAUAUAUUCUAUGCGUCACAACAUCACACCAGCAAAUCAUUUCACAUCGAGGGAAAGUCAAACAACAACUCUUAACAUUCAUUAGCACAUUCAAUGGCGGGAACAAGUUGGGUAGGGGUGAUUGGUUAGUACAAGAGGGGGAUUCCUUUGAAUUGAUUGAUUUAAGCCAAUAGGGGUGUAUGUGCUUAACUACAUGGUUUCCCAACAUGUUAUCAACUACCAUAAACUACUGGGGGGUCAUCUGGCAUCCCAGGUAUUUUCCCUGUCUCAUGCUGAUUGAUGGUUGCUAGGGGGUUGCUAUGGGUCCUCACCUAGCCUAACUGAGUCAGGGACACCUGGCUCUGCAGAUCUCUCCAGUUAUUUGUAGACAAACAACUCAGCAGGGUGGGUAUGUGCUUAGGAGUGCUCUGUGGGUCUUUCCAAGGACAAGGGUCACACCCCCUUCCUUAGGACAGGCCUUGAGGUAGAAGCUUGUUUCUCAAAAAUGGAGUCACAUCAGUUUCUCAAGUGUAGAGGACAAUUUUCAUAAUUUGCCAAGAACCGCAAGCAGAAAAGAAUGAAGCAGUGUUAUCAUCAUACCUCAUUCUUUGACUUGCCUUACUGAGUGUGUAUAUCUCCAUCCCUCAAAAAGAAGUCAAAAGUAAUGAAUUUUCAUUAAUUAUAGUAAUUUAUAAGGUAAAUUGAUUGUAUUGGUCUGUUGCUAUAUCUGUUUUAUUUCUGUUGCUCUAUCAAAAUAACUAAGGCUGGAUACUUGAUAAAGAAAAGAUGUUAAUUCAGUUCACAUUCUAUGGCUGGAAAGUCUGAACAUCAUGGUAUCAGCAGGAACUAAGUGGGGUCCUGAAACAACUGCAUUAAUCUCCUCAAGGGUGAUGUUCUCAAUGACCUAUUUACCUCCCACUAGGUCACCUCUUCAAGGUCCCACCACCUCCACACUACCACUCUGAGUGCUAAGCCUCUAGCACAUGACCCUUUGAAGGACAAAUCAUAUCCAAAUCAUAGUACUACUUACUGAUGAUGUAAAGCUGACAAGAUCAGGACACGUUCAAAAGUCUUGAUUUAAGGGCUGGGGCUGUAGCCCAGUAGUGCAGUGUUUGCCUAGCAUGUGCAAAGGCCUGGGUCAGAUCCCCAGAACUGCAAGAACAAACAAAACAAAAUGAACAACUGAAAAAUCUAUCUCAUCUGUAGUCCCAGCUACUUGGCAGGCUGAGUGAGGAAGGAGGCUCUGCUUCAGCCCAAGAAUUCAAGGCCAGCUGGGACAGUAUUGUGAGACCUUAGAAAGAAAGAAAGAAAGAAAGAAAGAAAGAAGAGAGAAAGAGAGAGAGAAAGAAAGAGAAAUAUUGGAAAUAUUAACUUGAAGUUGGAGAGUGCCAGGUUAACAAAACUUGGAGAAGAAUUUUUUUAAGCAUCUGUGAAAAGACUCAGAAUAUUUCUCUAAGGGAGAAUAAAAUGUUAGGUCCUAAGAAAUAUCUGCUCCCAUGUGAUCUGUUUCUCUCAUUGGAAUUUUACAUGACUUAUAGCUUCACCUGUUAUCAGGAUCAAUUGUUUCAAAACUAGCUCCCUACUGCGGGCGGGAUGUUGGAGUCACCUCCUCCCUGGUGCAAGAUCCUGGUAGAGCUGUUUACAAGGGAUCCUGAUUAGCUGAUCAAGAAGCAGUGUGAACAGGAGCCUGGACUUCUGGAUUCAUUAACAGAAUGAAUAGGGAUUUAUCAACAGAACUGGGCAUCAAAACACAAUAAAACUAUUUACAUCUAACUUACAUGGCUUUAUGUUUGUUUGCAGUUUUUAAAUUGUGAACUUGAAGAUAACAUUGCUUCUAGACAUGGCAGUUUAUAUCUUCAUACUAACUUGUUGGCUAACACAGCAGGUAAUAUGUACUACCCCUUCUCCACCCACAUCCUGUUGACCUUGCUUUUACGUCAUAUCUUUGAGACCAGAUAGUUCCCAGAGUUGAGUUUAUGGCUAGAGUCAGUGAGAGAGUAUGAAUCUGAAAAGUAACUUAAAAAUAGUAUCAGUAAAUGUGGGAAGCCAUCUGUGAAAUACAGGAGGACCUUCUCUCGCUGUGGAAGCCACGGAAGGAUAGGCCUAACAUUGGGAACUUCCUGUGGCUCUCUCUUUGAAAGGUGAGAGACCAUCCAAUGCAUAUGACCUUCCCCUCUGCUCUGCUAGAAAGAUCCCUCACAGUAGCACCAGAGAUGGGAGUAACCUGUUAGGAACAGCCCACCUGCCCCCACCUUGAUCCUAUUUUGGUGAAGAACAUUCUCUAGAAUUUCUUUGAUGUCUUCCAAUAUAAAUAAAGCAGGGCUCCUUUGUGUUAGAAGCUGGAUCCGUCUGGUCUAGUCCAUUUGCCUGUUCUGCCCCUGCUUUUGAAACUAUUUUCUGUGUUUUUUUCCACCAUUCUAUUUUUCCUAGCUUUUAUUUCUCAGCCAGCCUGUUCCACUGAGGGGAACCCCAUUCCCACCCACUACGUGGGAUGUGGGCGGAAAGUAAACAAAACAGUCACAAUGCUCAGCUUUUCCUUUUAUAACACUCAUAGUGUAAUAAGAAUGUGUUCAUGUAUGCUCCAUAUAUGAGCCCUGUGAUGGGAAUAUGUGAAAUCUCAGGCUGAGUAAGAAGCCUAUUUUGUGGGUUCUGAUAGCAUCCCAACAUGCUCCUUCCUCAGCAAACUAGUCAAAGGACUCUCCUUCCCUACAGGUGACCAGCCAAUUAGUCCUCGACAUGGCCAACAACGCAUUUGAUGAUCAGUAUGAGGGCUGUAUCGAAGCAAUGGAGGAAAAGGCACCCCAGCUGUUAAAAGAAGAGCUAAGCAUGAAUGAAAAAUUUAAGAAUGAAUGGGAAAAUGCUAAGAAAAAAUGGAAGCAAAUAAAGUCCAACAUAAACUAUUCAGAAAAUUUCAAUGAUUUCCAUGGAACUGCUAUAGUGGCCUACACUGGGAAAAUUGCAAAAGAUUUUAACCAAGCUGUAAGAGAAUUCAGACUAAAUUCAAGUGACUUUCAGUACAAGGCCUUCCAUUAUUAUCUGACAAGAGCUCUUCAGCUUCUGAGGACAUCCCAGUGUAACCAAGUUUUUAGAGGCUCUCAUACCAAGUUUUAUUACAGUGGGGCCGGUAGUGUACGAUUUGGGCAAUUCACUUCAUCAUCUUUGAAUAGAAAUGUAGCUGUUUCUCCAAGAUUUCUUGGUGCUGAUGGGACAUUGUUUAUCAUCAGAACCUGUUUGGGUGUUAAUAUCAAAGCAUUCUCUCUCUACCCUCAAGAAGAGGAAGUGUUAAUACCAGGGUAUGAAGUAUAUCAAAAGGUCACAGUAAAACAAACUGGUAAAAAUCACAAUGAAAUUUCCCUCGAAGCUCCCCAAAAACGAAAGAGUAACUUCAAUUGCUUUAAUUCUACUCCAAUUCACAGCAAAUCAGACAUCAAUUUCAACAGUUCAGGUGAGUCUGGGUCUGCAUUGGAGGUGGGGUUUGUGGGGUCAUCAUGAAACAGAAGAGGGUGCUCCCCUGCAGAAACCCCCACAGCAGAGAACAAUGGGCAUCCAGUCCAUUGCUGAAGAGUCUCAGGUUCCUAAAAGGACAGGACUACUGUUUUGGAGUGGAGAACAGAGCUCAGGCUCAUAGACAUGAGGCCAUUUCUAGUCCAGCCAAACUCCAGUUUCCCCUGCUGUGCAGAAAGGUCAGAAAGUCUUGUGGGACACCAGGUAGAAUGAACCAAGGAAUGUACUGGUGUGUCAGGGGCCAGCCAUAUCAAAGCAUCAGAGGAAUUGGGAGGCUUGCUGGUUCCAGACAGAAGGGCGUGGCUGCUGCAGAAUCCAGGCAAGAGAUGAAGGUGCCUGAACUGAGUGAGUGGCUGUGGUGCUGGAGGCGCCUGGGUUCUAGGUCUGUCUAUAAGCUAUCUCUUCCUGGGAGGGAAGACAGUGAGAGGUGGACAAGCUGAGGGGUGCAGUCAGAAAAGAGGAUGGGGGACCUUGAGAUUUCAAGUGUGAAGUGUUAACUGUUAAUCAGGUUCCAGGACAUUUCCACAAAAGUAAUUGGCUAGAUUGAAGAGCAAGAUGGAUAGCACUGGAUUGAGGAGUUGAAGAACUGAAGAUUUUGCACUGAGAACAACUCAGCCCUAGUGUAUAGGGAAUGAGCCUAGGACACUCACAGGACUAAAGAAAGAGAGGCAGAUAGAUUGGGGCACUCAUUGAUGAAAGCGUUGGUGCUGGACAACAGCAAGACCAGAUUGGAUCUGAGCAGUUUCAGUCAGAAAAAGGAGGAUAUAUAUGGAUGAGGACAAAAGUGACUAUCCUGCCAGGUGUGGUGUCACACUCCCGUAAUCUCAGUUACUCAGGAGGCCGAGGCAAGGGGAUUGCAAUUUGGAGACCAGCCUGGGUAAUUUAGCAAGAUACUUUCUCAAGAUAAAAAAUAAAAAGGGCUGGGAUGGAGCUCAGUAGCAGAGCACCCGUAGGUUAAAUUCCCAGUCCUCCACUAAUGCCCUCCCAAAGUGACUUCAUCCUGGAUGUAAUGUACUUGGUUUAUCUUAAGUUAAUAGCAAAGUGUUAGGAACUUCCCUGGAGCCAGGAGCCAGUUGUAAAUUUCCACAAACCGCUCUAAUGACUCUGUCUACAUAUAGUUUGCUGAGAAACUAUGUAAAAAAACUAAGCUUACCUUGGAGCAAUCAUGGCAGUUACAACUCAAGAUGGCUGCAGUCAUGUCAAGUUAAAUCAAUACAAGUGGUCCACAUGGUAGACCACAUGUAGAGGGACAGUGCCUGGAAUGAUGAAGGUAGAGUUGGUAAAAUCAGGAGAUAGGAACCUCAAAGAAGACAUACCAAUAAUGGUUGAAACUGGUUACAAAGAACACCAAGAAAGCUGUCACCACUCCCAGCCUCGAGAUGCAUAAGAAGAGCCACCAUGAGCACUUUCCCCAUCUUUUCCCAAGUGGUCCUGGCUUUUAGAUCUCUAUGCAUUUACACCAAUCAUUUCUUGUGGCCUGCAGUCUCUCUUCUUUGACUACAUAUCAUAUUUGAUCCAAGCUAAGACACCAUCAAUUUCAACAUGGUGAUUGUCUUCCAAGACCUAGUUCCAAUAUCACUUCCAAUAAUAAGCCUUCCUUGAUACUUUCAAGGAAAAUUAAAUCCUACACCAUUCUCUAUGGCAUAGGUUUGGACUCAGACCACCUCAAUGAUAAUCUGGCUCAGCAGCACUAGUUUUAUGACUUCAAGCAAGUUGCCUAAGUAAUCUGUCUCUGAAUUUCCUCAUUUAAUGAUGGGAUACAAAUAACAAACACUUGAGUAGUAUCACUGUGAGAAUGAUAAGAUUUUUAAGAUUUAUUGCUUGGCACAUAGUUUUGCUCAACAAAUACCUCCUUUUUUUUCUCGUGGAGAAUCUUGUCCACAUCUCAGCCAUUUUGCCUCAUAAUGGAGUAUGACUUACCAUUUAUAUGAUAAUCUCUUGCUUAUAGCCUGGAGACUUUGUCCCUCCUAUUUACCUGCAUUCAAGAUCUGCCAUGGGCUUGACUUGAAUCAGGGUUCCAACAUAUAUUGAUGCAGUAAGUUACUUUUUAUUGAGAGGCCAGGGGUCCAACCAGAAGUGGAUCUGGGCUGCAGAGGGACUAAGCAUCCAAGAAAUUUAAACCAAAUUUGCUCUUACAUUCUGGAAAUCCCUUCAAAAACCAAAAAGAUGUCCUUGCAGUUUCUCUCUCCUUGGUAUUUAUUUUUUUUUCUUUUUACCAUUUUUAUUGGUACAUUAUAAUUUACAUAAUAAUGAGAUUCAUUACACCACAUUUGUACAUGUGAGUUACAUAAUUUGUUCACUUUCCUUCCCUGGUACCUCUCCAUUUCCUCCCCUCCUCCCUCCCCCUAAUCACUUUCUCCCUGGUAUUUCUCCUCUCUCCCCCUAAUCACUUUCUCCCUGGUAUUUCUGACUACUUCAGGAAUCCUGGGAAAAUAAGAGGAGAGGCUAGUCAGGUUAAGUGAGUGCCUAGAGCCCACCUUCUAGGGUUUUGACAUGUAGGUGAAGCUCUGAAAGUUAGGAGGCUAUGUCUUGAGAAACUCCACACUGAAACCUUUCCUUCUCUCCCUCCCAUAGGCCCUGUGUUCCUGCUGCUGCUGCUACUGCUGCUUGCUGAGCCAUAGCCCUUGGCCUGAAGUUUCUCUUCCUUGACUACAUAUCAGAUUUGUGAGCAGGAUGUUGGAGGAAGGACAAGGAUCAGAGACUUGACUGGGUUCUCCAAUGUCAGCAGUAUUGGGAAGGGUAGGAUCUUUUUUUGUAGUCCGCUUUAGUGCUUGUGUCCCUCACAGAUAUAUGAGGAAAUUACUAAAUCCCACUAUAAAAGUGAGCAUACGGUCUUCAAAUUUACUGCCUGAGAUAAGUUCCUGGUGUCUUGACACUUUGCUAUGGUUACAAAUCAAUAUUUGCAUGCACCGUCAGCAGUGACAAUCUCUUUAAAAUGCAAUUUGUGAUUAAUGUUAUAAUCUAAAGAAAUAAACCAUUCAUAAUCACACCUUGCUUUUCUGUGACUAGGUUUCUCUAUAGAUUGUAUUAUGCUCAAGAAACUCUCUUAAGGCAUUAGAUCUGAUGCCAGAAUUUUUACAGCUGAGAAAAUUCAUAUUGCAUAUUUUUAUAGAUAUGUUUGUGGGACUGAUUGACUGAGCCAUAAAUAUGAGGGUUGUCCUAGAUAAAUUCCUCUCUCUACACUACUCCGCCAAAAAUGCAUGCAGUUACCAAGCCCUGUCAAUUAACUUUAAUAAUCGUUCUCAAAUCUAUUCCUUGCCUCUUGCCUACUCUGAUCAUCUUUGAGAAAAUGGAAAAGCCUGUUGUGAGGUGUGGAUGGAGCGCAAAAUCUAGGCAAUGUCCUAGCCAAGAGUGGGUCUAGCUAAGAUGCACAGAGCUUCUCUCACUCCUCAUUCCCCACUCUCCAUGCCUGAAAGACUGCACUGCCAUUGCCUACCAGCUACUGAGAUAAACUAUGAAGACAUGGUAAGUAAUUCCAAAUAGUAUAAUGGUGCAAUAAAAUCAAAAUCAUUGGAGAGAAUAAAGAGGUAAGAAAAUACUCAGGCAAACACAGGAACAAGGUAUAUGGCAGGGAUGGCCUUACAAAUCACGGGAGGAAACAUGAGGGUGUGAAUGGAGUUAGGACAGCUAAUUGUCUACAUAAAAAAAAAUGAAAGAAAAGAAAUAAGAAAUUGGAUUGGACCCCUACAUUGCAUAGAAAGCCAUUGUUUUGGACUUAGCUGCUUCAUGAGGCCCAAUAGACCAGAUCAAGCCAGAAUGGAGUCACUUUUGCUGGAUGCCUUAUAAUCAAAAUGAACUUUGAAAGGCACCAGUUUUCUGACAUCUAGGAGAUUCACAGUAACCAGUCAGAAGGCGCCCAAGUUACCUGACCUAGCAUGAUGAGGAACUGUCCACUUUUUUAAUUCUAUAAAGAAAGUACCUUCAAAUAACCAAUAUACUUUUUGUUCCCUAUUUAUGCUUUCUUUAGCUCUUUCCUGCCUGUAAAACCAACCCCCUCUGCUGUUCAGCUGAUUAGGAUAUCUUUUAUUUUUUUGGUACUCGGAGCUUGAACUCAAGGGAUCUCUACCACUGAGCCACAUCCUCAGCCCACUCCUCGCUUUUUUUUUUUUGUACUUUUUUAUAAGACAGAGUCUCACUAAGUUGAGGCUAAGGCCUUGAACUUGUGAUCCUCCUGCUUCAACCUUCCUAGUCUUUGGGAUUACAGGCAUAAGGAUUGUGCCCAGCUCAGAAUAUCCAUUCUCUUUUGUAGAAUGAGAUGUUGCCUGAUUUCAGUAAAAGCUAAUUUGUUUUUUAAACUAAAUCUGUUAUUAUUUUUUCAACAUACCAUCCGUGAAAGUAAUCCUAAGGAAUGUAAAGAUCUAAAUGUUAGAAUAAACCUCCGAAACUCUUAUAAAAAUAUAAAAGAAUAUUGGGCUGGGGCUGGGGCUCAGUGGCAGACCACUUGCCUAGCAUGUGUGAGGUACUGGGUUCCAUCCUUAGCACCGUGUACAAAAAUAAAUAAAAUAAAGGCAUGCUGUCCAUCUACAACUACAAAACAUUUUUUUAAAUAUAUAGAAGAAUAUUUGUUUUAACAUGAGAGCAAAAGGAAAAAAAGAUUUAUUUCCCCUCCAUGCCUAAGAUCCUGGGAUCUUAUUACUUCUGCCAAGAAUGACGUCAUCACUUUUAUAAUAUCUCAUUGAUCAAAGCAAGUCACACAGCCAUCUUCAACUUGAAGAAGGGCUUUCCAGGCACCCGGAAAGAGAAGAGAGGAGGAAAAUUUGUAAUAAAACCCGUUGUUUGGGGAAGUAUAUCUUAAGACCAAAAAACAAAAUAAAGAGAAACACAAAUAAAUUUGACAUAGUAAUAACAAGAUGAAUAGCCAAAAUUUUUUGGGUACUUACUGAGUUAUCGGGCACUUAUUCAAAGCAUUUUACAUAUUUAUUCAUUUAAUCUUCACAAUAACCUCAUGAGGUAAGCUCGACUCUUUCCCAUUUAUACCAUCGAGGCUCUGAGGAGUUAUGUAACUAAUUGUCAAAAUAAACAAAAUAGACAUAAGAAGCAAGGAAAUAGAACCUAAACUAUGGCAGGUCAGGUCAGGGGUGUUGAAGGGCUAGGAGGGGUUAUGCUAAGUAAGCAGCAAAAGCUGGGCUUCCAGAUAAGAUAGAGCUCAUGGGUCUGCACUUCAUUGGUUAAAAGAAAUCCUAUUGUUUUUAAUUCAGGAAGGAGUGCCUAAUUAUCAUUUGGCCUACAGGGGUCAUUAAAAGUUCAUGAUUCUUCAUCAACUUUAGCAGGAAAAAACAGGUGUGAUGAAAAAAAUGUUGGGUUUUAGAUAAGUCCCAGGCGAAUGCUUUCUGUAGGUCAAAACUUCUCUUACACUGUGAGGAAAAUAAGUCAAAAUCAAACACAUAAACUUCUGAAUAACAAAAGACGCCAGAAUCAAAAAGCAAGAAGGAGGCUGGGAAAGGAUCUUUGUGAGAUUUAUAACAUGUAAAGAAUGUCUGCAAAAUAGAAAAAUUAGAAUAAUAUAUGAACAGACAAUUUACCGAAGAGAAAAAUCAACCUUUUUUUUUUUAAUGCCAAUUGCGAUUGAAACACAAAUCAAGGCAACCAUGACAUAUUACUUCAACUCUUCAACUUUAACAUGGGCUACUCGAUCUUAUCAAGCUGUUGCAAUUUAAGCAAAGUCUUCUAGCUUUUGUCAAAUCGAAACUCUUGAGAAUUGACAGACUUUCUGAAAUAUAGGGAUUUAUUGAGGCUUUACAAAUGCUAAACAGAAAAAAAAAAAAAAGACCAGUUCUGGGAAAAGUUCCUAAAACCAUUGGCAAUAGGCCCGGGCAGCAAUUGGAAACAUGUCCACUGGACCUAGAGCUUAGAGUAUCUUUGUAUAAACUCUGAGGAAGGAAAGUCUAAGUAGUUUACAUUGACCUUCAUUGGCUCUGGAAUGCAGGAUAAGGCUAUGGGACAGGAGGAUUGUUCAUAAGUAGAAGCACCUGCUUCUGGAGUAGUUGGGGUUAAACAUCUGGAGGGUUUGUAAAUCAACAGGGUUUGGUGGCCCUGGUGGUCAGCCAUGAAGGGAUUGAAGCUUUCAACAUAAACAGUCUUUUUGGUUCUUUGCCAGCAGCUGUUAACUGAUUACCUACUUUGUCUUAUUUCUUCCCUUUUCUAUUCUCUGGCCCUUGUGAUUAAUCUCAGAAUUUUUCUUUUAUCACUUUUAAUCUGCAUAAGUUUCUGUGUCUCUGUUCUCAUGUUUUCCUUACAUUGUUUAUUUAAUAUCCAGAUGAGAAGGGUUUUUAUUUUUUGCGACUAGGGAGUGAACACAGGAUUUUUUGAGACAGGGUCUCACUAAAUUGCUGAGGUUGACCUACAACUUGUAAUCCUUCUGCCUCAAGCUCCAGAGUUGCUGGGAUAUCAGGUGCUCACCACCAUACCUGGCCAGUAAGAAAGGUUUUGAUGCAUCCUUUAAGUCUGCCACCUAUGAAACAUAUAAACAGUAUUGCAACCUUAGCAAUUAUUUCCACAUCAGUGAGAUAUUUUGUAUGACUUUUGUUCAAUUCAAGAAUGCAAACCGGGCAUGGUGGCACAUGUCUAUAAUUCCAGGGACUUGGGAGGCUGAGGAGGAGGAUCAUAAGUUCAAGGCCAGCCUGGGCACGUUGGGGAGACCCUGUCUCAAAAUAAAAAAUAAAAAGGGCUGGGGAUAUAGCUCAUUGGUAGAGUACCCCUGAGUUCAAUCUGUAGUAUCAAAGAGAGAGAGAGAGAGAGAGAGAGAGAGAGAGAGAGAGAGAGAGAGAAAGAGAGUGUAUAAAGGCACAUUCUGUAUUUCACACAUUGUUGAAAGAGUGGGGUAAGACCAGUAAGACCAGGCAUGGUGGUGCAGCUCUGUAAUCCUACCAACUUGGGAUGCUGAAGAGAAGAAUCCCAAGUUCAAGGUCAGACUCAGCAAUUUAGUGAGACCCUCAACAAUUUAGCAAGACUGUCUCAAAAUAAAAAGGGAUGGGAAUGUAGUGGUAAAGCACCCCUGGGUUCAAUUUCCAGUACCACAAAAAAAGAAAACUGAAAGGUUGGAGAGUGGGGAAGGUUUUUAACAAGUAAUAGAUUAUGAAUUAAAACCUGAGAGUUUAUCUAACUUUUUGUUCCCUGAUCUGGUCCCUGAUUAUCUCAGUUACAUGAACUUUAAAGUCAGAAUGAAAAAAACUCAUGAAUACAUUGGGGCUCAUUCAGUAGGAGGGCUACAGCAAAGUGGAAAAAAUCUUUUUUGUAGGAUUCUGAUGUAAUCACAUUCUUAGCCUUAGGGUUGAUGAAGGCCAGAGGUCAGUGAUAUAUACCAAGUGUUUUAUCUGGUAGUUACAAGGAUAUAAGGUCAGAUACAGAGAUGGGUAGUAAAUGAUUAUUAACAGGAACUAUAGAUAGCCCAAGAUAACUCUGGCUCUCCAUCUGUAACAUUCCAUCUCUCCAGAACCAUGAUAUUCUUGUCAGCCACAGUCCAACAGUCUGCAGGUCCUUCAACAUAACUGAGGCUUCUUCAGAGAACUUCAAUUCACAGCUUUUAGUUAGUGUGACCUUGAAAUCCAAGCCUGUGGCGAUGUCUGACUUCUACUCUAGCCCUUCCAAACAUUGUAUUGAAUUGUAUUUCAAUUCCCUGUAUUGAAUCCCUUUCUGUCUGAGGUGCCUAGAGUGCUUCUGUUUCUUUCAUAGAAUCCUAACUGAUGCAACUGGGCUCCCUGCUUCUGCUCUUGCCCACCAGAGUAGCCCCAUGAACUCAAGACACAAUAUGCAAUUUCUUUGCUCAAAUCUGUGAAUGGCUAAAAGCCAAAGUCCUUCCAAUGCCUUAAAAAGACCACAUCCAAAUUUGGUAUUCCAUAAACAUUCUGAUCUCCUCUUCCACUGCUCUCCAAAUUGCUUGCUCUGCUCCAGCUACGCUGAUCUCCUUAUAAUUCUCUACUGUGCAGGCACUCAUUGGCCUCAAGGCCUUUGUUUUGUGUUCCUGCUCCCUGGCACUUUCCCUAGAUAUCUGACCAACUUACAAAGCUUAUUUCAAGUCUUUACUCAAAGACCCCCUUCUCAGUGAGAUGUCCCAUGUCUGUGUAUGAUUAGAUUACUACCCUCCUGCACACCAUCCCCCUUUCCUGCUCUUCUUUAGCACUUUGCAGUCUAAAACAUCACGCAUACAUUUCUGACCCUAUUGCAUAUUGCCCCCUCCACAUUGUUGAUCCUAUAAGGUUUUUGUCACUAUAGCAUUUACUACCUUCAAUGCUAUAAAUGUCUCCCAGACUCUGGAAUCUGAACUUCACAAGGACAAGGAUGUUUGUAUGCUACUUCAUUGGUAUACCCCAAGCACUCAGAACAGUGCCUGGCAGGUAGUAGGAGCUUAGGAAAUCUUUAUUGAAUAAAGAAAUUGUCUCCAUUCUGUGAAUGAGAAAACUAAGACUUAGAAGAACAUGUUUCUUCAAUGUACCAGCCCCAAAGAGGCAGAUCUGGAGUUACCCUGAGACUGAGAGCUGCAUUAUUUAAAAAAAAUAUAUAUUUUACUAUUUUUAAAAGAUAUUUUAAAUACUUCAAUAUAAUUUUAAAAUAUUUUAUUAAAGCAUGGCCUACAUACAGAAAAGUGCACAAAUCAUAUAUGUUCCACUUGAUGGAUUUUCAGAAAAUGAUCACACCUGUGUAACUAUCACUCUGAAAAAGAAACAGAACAUUACUAGUGAUCCAGAAUCUCCUGGGACCCCCUACUCUGGGGGCAUUAGAAAAGUAACUACUACUCUAACUUUCAAUUAAUUAAGUGUUCAAUUAGUUAGAGAUUAAUUUUGCCUGAUUUAAAACUGUAUAUAAAUGGAGUUGUAUGGAAUAUAUUCUUGUGUUUUGGUUCAUUCACUAAAAAUUACACUUGUGAGACUCAUAUUUUCACAUAUAGCUGUAUUUUAUUCAUUUUUAUUGCUUUAUUAUAUUCCUCUGUGAAUAUGUGAAAAUUUAGUUACCCAUUCUAUUGGUGAUGGGCCUUUUGUUCUUUCUAAACUUUGGCCAUUAGGAAUAAUGUUGUACGUAUAAUGAACAUGUUGUAUAUAUUGCACACAUGUGAACACAUUGUUAUACAUGUCACUCAUUUUUGUUGAGUAUAUACUUAGGAGUAGGAUUGCUGAGGACAUGUUAUUUAUAGAGUUGUCCCUAUGUAUCUCUGGAGGAUUAGUUCUCCCCACCACACCAACAUCUGCAGAUGCUCAAGUCCCUUGCAUGAAAUGAUGUAUAAUGGGUAUAUAACCUAUUCACAACCUCUUGCAUCCUUUAAAUCAUCCCUACAUUACUUAUAAUACUUAAUUCAAUGCAAGAUGGGAACAGUAGUUAUACUGUAUUAUUUAGGGGAUAAUGACAAGAAAAAAAAGUCCAUGUAUGUUCAGUACAGUUGCAGUUUUUUAUGAAUAUUCUCAAUUUGCUUGUUGGUUGAAUCAAUGGAUGUAGACCUUGUUAUAUAAACAGAGGGCCCUAGGCUGAGGAUGCAACUCAGUGGUAGAGUGUCUGCCUGGCAUGCACGAGGCCCUGAGUUUGAUCUCCAGCACCACAAUACAAACCAACAAACAGAAGAAAAGAAAAGAGGGCCCACUGUAUACAUAAUGUUCAAUUUUAGUAGAUCCUGUCAAAUAAUUCUCCAUACCCUCUCUGGACCUCAAUUGAGAAGCAAGUUAUUUAUCCCUGUGUUUAAGAGUAAGAGAUUCAUAACAAGCUAUAAUGGUGGGGUACACGCUCUCACAGUGAUAACACAGGUGGCAAUACUGGAAGCCUUGGCACCUGUGUGAUGAUUAACUUCAUGCUUCGAUAUGAUUGGCCAAGACGAUGCCCAGAGAGCUGGAAAAGCAAUAUUUCUGGGUUUAUCAGUGAGGUAUUUCUUGAAGAGAUUAACAUUGACUCAGUAGAUGGGUAAAGGAGAUCUGUCCUUACCAUUACAGGUGGACACCAAAGGCAAACUCUUCCCCCCUCCUUAAGCUGGGCCAUCCAUCAUUUCCUGUCCUUGGCUGUAGAAGCUAUUGAUUCUCAGGCCUUCAGACUUAGGAACUUAAAUUAACCCCCAUUGUCCUAAAAAAUUUUCUCUCUGGCCCUUAGGCCUUUGACCUCGGGCUGGGAGUUAUACCAUCAGCUUCCCUGUUUUCAGGCCUUUAGAUUCAGACUGAAUUGUACCACCUGCUCUCUCAGGUCUCCAGGCAGAGCAUGGGACUUCUCAGCCUCUACAAUUGGAUGAACUGAUUCCCAUAAUGAAUCUAUGGAUUCUAUUUUCUGGAGAACCCUAGUUAAUAUAACCUGUGAGCCAUUUUUGGGAAGACUUGAUAAGGUGCCUUCCAAUGGAGUUCCAGAGAUGUAUUCCUUUGACAAACACAGGAUCUCCGUCAACAGUUUUUUUUUUUUCCCCAUUACUCUGUCUAUAGAGGUCAGUUGGUAGGUUGCACCUAGAAUAGAAUGUUUUGAUGCACACAUCAUUCAUGCUUUGAAAUGAAACAACAUUAUCUGGCCUACAAAUGCUCUGCCAACGAGUGGCCAUGGAGAGUAACUAGAAAUGGUAUAGACACUUUGCAGCUGGAUCAUUUGGGGAAAGUCCUGAUCUUUCUUUUGUAGUAGAUGCCACGGUAUAAGAGCUAUGAGAUGGGUACCUGGCCAUUCCAGUCCAGUUUCUGUACAACCCUAUCCAAUUUAUCUUUUUUAGAAUUCCAUUUUGAAGUUUCUCUAUCUUCUCUGAUUCUAAGUAAUGUGAGCCGCAAAACAUUUAUGAAUCAAUAAGGCUUUACAACUAUUAAUAGACAAAGGUAAUCCAAGUUUAAAAAUAAAUCUUUAGAAACUCUUGGCCAAAAGACAUAGUAUCAUUUUGGUGCCCUAGAUUCAGUUUCUGGUGAAGGCCUCCUUGCUGGCUUACAGGUAGCCAUCAUUUUGCUGUAUCCUAUAUGGUAGAAGGAGCUCUCCAGGGUCCCUUUUAUAAGGACAUUAAUUCCGUUUGUGAGGGCUCUCCCCUUGUGAUCUAAUCACCUACCAAAGUCCAACUAUCUAAUACCAUCACACUGUGGGUUACAUUUUUAACAUGAAUUUGAGCAAACACAAAUAUUUUGCCUACAGCAAGUAGUGAGAGGAAAUAUUGGGUUUUUUAUUUGUUUAUUUUUAAAACAAUUUUCUAUAGUCUGGAAGUACUCAAAAACAUAGUGAGAACUGAUACAAAUACAAACAGACUUUUGAGAAGUGAGACUACAGAUUCAGAAGAAGCAACGUGUUUGCUACCUGAGUCAAAAAUAAAGAAUUUUUGCUACAUGUGUUAACAGCAGACAGCAUCACCCAAGAUCUUUGUUUUUUAAGUCAUUAACUUUAAUGUACCUUGUAUCAAAACCUCAUGCUCAAUACACAAAAGAAUGUCUAUCAAACACAUUCUCUCAGCCUCACUGACCAUUCCAGAUACUGCAGAAGUGAAAGGUCCACCCUGGUUCCUGUGGAUGCCCUUCUCUUCAGGGGCUUCCUGCCUCUAGUCAUCCCUAAUACAGAGACAUGAGGAGACUCCACUUUGCAAUUACACCUGUGCAAUCCAGGAAUGUGGGGAAGACAAAGUUCCAAGAGGAACUCCUCUCAACCAGUGGAGGACAGGAGUCAAGGAUAAGUAAUUCUUGUUUGCCCCCCAGACAGAUGGUUCUGAGUCUCAAUUCAGAAGGCCACCACAGUGCCCAGUGGCAAUAUGUUUAAAUGAAAAUAUCUAGUUUUUAAAAAUAUCAUGGAUAAGAUCAAGCACAUUACAAAGUCACAUUAUGGAUGCAUCAAUUAAUUUAUCCUCCUAAUUUGAAUGUUUUGAAGACCAAAUGUGCCGAUACAUAGAAAAUGAUACAUAGGGUAGAGAAUUUUGGUUAACAUAUUCCUUAUUUUCUCUGCAUUUUAAUUUCUUUAAAAGUCUCAAAAUAAUAGUAGUAACUUAUUAACUUAAAAUUUUACCAUUUAUGGUUCAGAAUCAUUGACAGAUCUUAGAAAAUAUACUAAUAUAUUUUCUUAUAUCUUAUAAUCAACCAAUCUCUGUUGAUUAUAAGAGUUUAUAGAAGAAAUAUGGUAAUAAAACAUUAUCCAUUUAAGUAGAGUAACUGUAGAUGUUCAUAAUUUUUAAUAUUAUACAAGUUCCAAAAGUAUAAGAACUAGUUUAUAAAAUACUGGUGUUUAAAAUAAUCAACUAGCUGAAUACUCAUGUUUACAUUGACAUAUUCUUGAAUAUUAGUGCAAGUAAUAAUAAUUGGAAAAUUUAGAAAUUCUACCUUGUUUAUCUUUUCCAAAGAUUAAAAAUUAAAUUCAAAGUCUUUCAGAAAUUAAAUACCACAUUUGCAUUUUUACUUAUGUAAAAUCAUCUUUUAGUCAUCUUUUAACUAAAAUUCAAGGUAUAGUUUAUUUUAUCAAAGGGUUUGCCUUGAUAAAUAAUAUAAGAGCACAUAAGUUAACAUUUAAUUUCUAUUUAUUUACUUUUCCCUGCUGCAUCCUUUGUUUAGAGCCCCACCUGUAAAACCCCUAAUUGUAAGGCCAUUGUUGCAAGAGACACUGUGACAAGAUGGAGGCGGAACUCCAUUUGAUAAAGGUUGUACAGUAGCCAGAUUUGAUGGCUUUUACUUCCUUUUUUUCUCUUUCCUCCCCAGUUCCAAAUCACAGCAAAUUCUGAAAGAGCAGCUAAUUUCAAAGGUAAUCUGCUUUACCCAGCCCCACUCUUGCUCAGGGGGCUUCUGUUACACUUAUUUGAAACAAAUCCCUCAACUGAAAAGGAUCACAUGAAAUACACAUUGGCUUCUAGAACACAGUCUUCCCCCUGAAUGUGCUCAUUCUCAGGGGCACACGCUGAAGUAGAAUUCUUGGAAGCUUCUUGGUCAAACAAAACCGACAUCCUUAGGACAAACAGUGUCCAAGUUCUAAGGGAAGAAUUGCUUGAGCUGAAACAGUAGGUACUCCCAGUAGGCCCACACCACAGAAUGGGGCCACAAAAGUCCUUGUCCUGUGCCAUUGGGAAAGCUGAACUAAUUAAAAUACCAGAGACAGACUCAGCAGAAGCCAUCAUUUCUCUCUUAGAAUUAAGACAACUAAAUACUUCCAGGUAUUUCCCUAGAAAAUGAAAGAGAGAGAGAGGGCGGGGGGGAGAAGUAUUUGGGGGAUAGGCUGGUUGAGGUGGCUGUGUGCAGGAGAGGGUAGCAGAGGUCCUAAUCACAGAGAAGUUUUGAGUACAGGUUAGAAAAUACUCUGGUGUUCUUUUGAGCCAGCAGACUAAAGUGUCCAACCCUUCCCUGAAGGCUGACACUUAGCAGCUCCUCCAGGAUGUGUGGCUGCUGAGUUUGCUCAUUAGCAUUUCAUAGUCUGCAGUAAGCAAGUGCAGCCACCAGGGGGCAAGAUGCACCUUUAACCCUGGCCUUACUGAAUACCAGAGGGUCCUGGUCUGGUCCUUGAAGGUGCAUCUGGAACUUCACAUCUCAGGUCAGUACCUUGUUUCCCUUGACUUGUGAAAGAGGUGGAUCAUUAAGAUAAAAUAAGGGGAAGACACCCUGGAAGAGACUAAAACUAAGAAGCUGAAGAACAAUGUCAGUGUUCUGUGUACGUGUUGUCAUUCACCCAUAGAGUCUCCACGUACUUUAACAAGGACCAAAUGACUUUAGAAAAAGGAAACUGGAAAGGAAAUGAGGAAACGUGGGGAUUCUCAACAGAAUUCAUUGUGCUGACUCUUUUUGUGUUCAUUAAUUUAUACCUGGGUCAGGGCGUCCUGUGCCAGACCCGCCAAAGGAAAUCCCACAAUCCUCAACUUCGGGGAAGCACCUGUGUCAAAGUUACACUCAGGCCAAUUAACAGCAUGGUUCAAGGGCUUCCUUAUAUUUAUUUUAUUGAGUGUAGUUGGUAUGCUAUACCUGUGGGUUUUACAUCUGUGGAUUCAACCAGCAGCAGUUAAAAAUUCUGGGAGAAAAGAAACGAAAGGAAAGGAGGAAGGGAGAGAGGGAGAGACAGAGAUAGAAAGCAUGUGCACAUAAAAUACGAAAAAAAAUUAUGUCUGAACUGAAAGUGCACAGAUAUUUUCUAGUCAUUAUUCCCUAAAUAAUACAAUGUAACACUAUACAUAGCAUUUACAUUGUAUUAUUAUAAGCAAUCUAAAGAUGAUAAACAGUAUACAGUCAGGUAUAAUGGCACAUGCCUUAAUCCCAGAGAUUCAGGUGUCUGAAGCAGGAAGAUGGCAAGUUCAAGGCCAGUCCCAGCAAUUUAGGAGCUCUAAGCAACUUUGCAAGACCCUGUCUCAAAAUAAAAGAAUAAAAAGGACUGGGGUGAAGCAAGCCAGAGACCCCCACCCAGAAGACCCUUGCCAUAAUUAAGCUUCUCCUCUUGUCAGAUCAGCAGGGUGUCUGCAAAGCUUACUGUGGUUGAAGUUUCCUCUUUCUUGAAAAUGCCAGGUUUGCACACAAAAGGUGUGAGUUAGUCUGCAAGCUUGUUGUAAGCAAAGAUAUUAUCUCUAUUUUCUUGGUAAAAACUUGUGUUGGUCUAGAGGAUGGAAGAGAGAGCACUUGUUAUGUAAAACCUCCAAGGCCCUCCUCCCACUGGAUAUAAAGUUCAAAGAAUUUCCAAAAUCUUUGUUCAGAGAAAGAAUUCUUAGGCGAGAGCCACCUCUGAACCCUGCAGUCAAUAAACUGCUUCUUGAAAAUUCCUCAGGUGUCCAGCCUCUCCUGGCCUACUUCAGGGGGUCUGUCUGGGGUUGUAGCUUAGUGGUAGAGUGCUUGUCUAGCACAUGUUACUGAGUUCAAUCCUCAGCACCACCUAAAAAUAAAUAAAAUAAAGGUAUUGUGUCCAUCUAUAACUAAAAAUAUUUCUUUAAAAAAGGGGGGCUGGGGAUGUGGCUCUGGGUUCAAUCCCCAGUACCCCACCACCACCACAAAAUAAAAGUAUACAGCAAGAUUCAUAGGCUAGUGAAAAUGCUGCUCCAUUUUAUAGAAGGGACUUGAGCAUUUUGGGGGUCAGAGGUGGGUUCUGGAACAAUUCCCCUGCAGAUACCAAGGCAUGACUAUAAUAGAAUCCUCCAAACCUUGAUUAGAAGUCUCAGUAUUGAAGGGUUUUUUAAAAUCUUCCUAACUGCCAAUUUUGACCUAAUGUGAAUUGCACAUUAUUGGGACUGAUCUUCAUAUUUAUUUUGUAACUCAGCAGGAACGUUGAAGCUAUUAAACCAGAACUUAGGUUUUUUUUUUUUUUCCAUCUAAAAAUGUUUAGAAAAAAGGGCUUAGAUUUGAAAACAAGAAUAGUGUUUAAAUUUGUAUUAACAACUUAGUUUAUUUCUCAAGGUUAUUUACACAUUCACCAUUCUAUUUUAUUCUUAAAAGAAUAUAAAGUUUACCUUUUACCCAAAGGCUUUAAUACUCAAUUGAGUAGUUUCAUUUUUUUAUCACUUGGAAGUUUUAGUAGAAACUGUUUAAAAAACUCAUCCUUUUGAAACUAAUUUCUUUAAUCUUUUUAAAUGUCUUAACAUAAAUUAUAGAAUGCCAUUUACAGGCCAAGUUUCUUUGUAAACUCAAUGUUCUGCUAUUUGGAAGGUUUUCUUUUAUUGUUCUCUCACCCUGGAGGCCUUUUUAUAAAGUGCUGGCACAUUUGAAGCAUUGGAGGUGUGGCUUGGUUUCUUAAUUUUUCCCACAGGGAGACAUUGAGUCCCUUUAUCUUAGAUUUAUAUAAGCUCUCAGUGGUAUCUUGUAAGCAAUAUAAAUAGAAAUUUUACAGGGGUUGGUUGACAUGAUAGUUGUAUUUUCUGCAAAUCUACAGAGUAGGCCUAAUUAAUUCCAAGCUGUCUCUGAUAUCAAACUCAUUUCUUUGUCGGCAGGAUAUACAGACCAGCCCUGCAGAGCAAGCAAGCUGAAAUAUCUACUGUUUCCAAAAUCUCCUAGAAUUCCCCACCCCCAUCCUCUCCGUUCAUACCAACUCAAACCAAUGCAUCUGGACCUUUGCACAGGGCUGGGAGUCUCUCACUCAACAACAGAAGAAAUUAUUACACGACUGCAAAAUUGGAAGAUCAAACAGGAGAAUUUUUCCCUUAAGAAAAAGAAAGAAGAAAUCUUGCAGACGUCCAGAAAAAGUCACUCAAGCUUCCAGGAAGCAACAUACACAUAUUUAUCCUCUAGGGGGCAGGAGUUCUCUGUUUCUGGUGGAAAACACUUCACUGGUCCGGAGUUUUGCCUCUUGGAACUGCUAGGGAAACUUCACUUAGCUGGGUCUUAAUUUGAACAGAAAGAAAACAUUCCAGCUUCGAAUUAGAGAAAAGUCUAACCCAGAAACUAGAAGUACUCAUUCCAGAAGACAGAGGCACAAAGCUCUUUCAAUCUGCUCUGACUGCUGGUGAGCUCACAGAUGCAGCUCCACAUGUGUGCUCUCAAGAAUGCCUGGCAAAAGCCACAAGAUACAACCAUCCACGACAGCAGGAAGCAGCAUGGCAGGUUUUUGCUUCGGAUGCCCUGUUGAUGAUCUAGCCAGCUGUUCCUUGAUGCCCUUUUCUGAGCUGGUUAGAAACAUCCCAGAGAUAAGCAAGACCCAAAUAAAUUGUCUGUCACUGCCUGGGUUCUCUUUCAAAAACAGUGCCAAACACAAGGAGCUGCCUUCAGAAAACUCGUUUGGGAGAUGAUUGCAGGGUGCAAGAGUGAGGAACUUGUACUGUGCCAGCCAUUCCUGUCUGCUGGGGACUGGGGAGUUUGCUAAGAUUUGAGACUUUCACUGCUAAAAUUGGAGAAGUCUCAAAUAAAUGAGGGAUGAGUUGGUUGUGCAGGAACUGGGUGCUGUACUCAAAGGAGGUAAGCUGGGCAAGGCUGGGCUCAUGUGUUAUUAGAUCCCACAGCAUAGAGGGCACCUCAGAAUUGUAUGCCCGCAGGAUGGACGUGGGGAGAUUUGUCCACUGGUUUCCAUUCUCCAUUAGUCAGUUUUGCUCCUUGGGGGCGUUCAUUCUGCCCACACUCAGGGUUCCUGUGCCUGAGUGCCUGUGAACUCCCACAGGCAUUUCCCACUGAGGCUUCAGAGAAGCCCUGGGUGGAAAGUGAGAGAAACACAAUACAACUGAGGAAUAGCAUUGUGACACCUACACAAACCCGAUUGCUGCAGCAAUGGCAUUUGGACUGAUGGGGUGAAGUGGGCCCAAGAAGCGUCCUAUGCAUGAAGGUUAAUUUCACCUUCUUUUGGUUGGCUUAUCGUUGAGCUCAGUAUGGGAUCAUCAACCUCUGCUCUUAGCUUCCAGUUAAUUUAAAUGAAAUAAAGUUCUCAGAUUUUUUAUUUAAAUAAGAAAUCCAGCAAUGUAGUUUCAUUUCUCCUUGUGUAUAUGGAGGAAGGUGC